rnacentral:sRNA from 1 species
GGCAGGCGUGGUGGUGUACACCUGUAAUCCCAGUGGCUCUGGAGGCUGAGGCAGGAGAAUUGCGAGUUCAAAGUUAGCCUCAGCAAAAGCGAAGUACUAAGCAACUCAGUGAGACCCUGCCUCUA